AUAUAUAACGACUCUCGGCAACGGAUAUCUCGGCUCUCGCAUCGAUGAAGAACGUAGCGAAAUGCGAUACUUGGUGUGAAUUGCAGAAUCCCGCGAAUCAUCGAGUCUUUGAACGCAAGUUGCGCCCGAAGCCAUCCGGUCGAGGGCACGUCUGCCUGGGUGUCACGC
rnacentral:rRNA from 1 species